rnacentral:rRNA from 1 species
AACAAACGCUGGCGGCGUGCCUAAUACAUGCAAGUCGAGCGAAUGACGAGGAGCUUGCUCCUCUGAUUUAGCGGCGGACGGGUGAGUAACACGUGGGUAACCUGCCUGUAAGACGGGGAUAACUCCGGGAAACCGGAGCUAAUGCCGGAUGAUAACGAGAAGCGCCUGCUUCUUUUUUGAAAGUCGGUUUUGGCUGACGCUUACAGAUGGGCCCGCGGCGCAUUAGCUAGUUGGUGAGGUAACGGCUCACCAAGGCGACGAUGCGUAGCCGACCUGAGAGGGGGAUCGGCCACACUGGGACUGAGACACGGCCCAGACUCCUACGGGAGGCAGCAGUAGGGAAUCUUCGGCAAUGGACGAAAGUCGGACCGAGCAACGCCGCGUGAGCGAUGAAGGCCUUCGGGUCGUAAAGCUCUGUUGUCAGAGAAGAACAAGUACCGGAGUAACUGCCGGUACCUUGACGGUACCUGACCAGAAAGCCACGGCUAACUACGUGCCAGCAGCCGCUGUAAAAC